UCGUCUUGGGCGACGAGCUUGUGCGGGAGUGGGAGCCCGGUAUGCUCCGGCCAAGACGCCGCCUCAUGCGCUCUGAAGCAGAUACUCGACUCCUCCACCUGCACCAACCAUCUGGCGGCGACCGGCGUCGCUGCGCUGCUCCUGCUCGCGCUCGCCCUCCAGCUGCUUGUCAAAAUUCCACAGAGCAGAGCGUCGGCGCGGCAGCUCGUCGCGCUCAGCCUCAGCUCCCCGCUGCACUUUUCUGCCGUGGUGUUCAACGCCUGCCUGGGUGUGGCUUACCUCGGGCUGGGGCUGUCGAUGCUGUGGGGUGGCUCCAGUCAGGACGCUUCUGCUGUUUACCUUCCACACUGGUGGCUUGUGACAUUAUCCCAGGGACUGAAUCUGACCCUUGCUGGCUUCGCCUUCAGCGUCAGGCCUCGGUUUCUUGGGCCGGCGUUCGUUAAAUUUUCGCCGGCCUUGCUGACCGUUGACGCGGCGUUUGUCUGCUGUUCUUCGGUUGUUGCUAUUGUUGCAGGGAAGAUGGUCGCCGUCAAGGGCUGCUUGGAUGUUCUGUGCUUGCCAGGUGCAGUUGUCCUCCUCAUUUACGGCAUUCAGCACAGCCGUGAUGAAGAGGGUGAUGGAGAAACUGGAAGUGGUUUAUACAAGCCCCUCAACACAGAGGAGACAGGCGUUGAGGUAGCUGAUUCUGAGACUCAUCAGGUCACUCCCUUUGCCACUGCUGGAUUUUUCAGCGAGAUGUGGUUUUCAUGGUUGAAUCCUCUCAUGAAGAUGGGCUUUGAGAAGCCCCUUGAGGACAAAGACAUGCCACUCUUAGGCACCACAGAUCGAGCACACAACCAGUACAUGAUGUUCAUGGAGAAGCUCAAUGACAAGAAGCAGUCGCCGGUGCAUGCCACACCGUCAUUCUUCUGGACUAUUGUUUCUUGUCACAAGCGUGCCAUCUUGGUCUCGGGUUUCUUUGCUCUGCUCAAGGUUCUCACCUUGUCCACCGGCCCAGUAAUUCUCAAGGCAUUCAUCAAUGUGUCACUUGGGAAAGAGACCUUUAAGUACGAAGGCUAUGUGCUCGCUGCACUAAUGUUCAUCUGCAAAUGCGGUGAAUCACUGUCACAGAGACAGUGGUAUUUCCGCACUCGGAGAUUAGGAUUGCAGGUGAGGUCACUUCUGUCAGCAGCUAUUUAUAAGAAACAACAGAAGCUAUCAAAUGCAGCGAAAAUGAAUCACUCUUCUGGAGAAAUUAUGAACUAUGUGACCGUUGAUGCUUACCGGAUCGGGGAAUUCCCAUACUGGUUUCAUCAAACAUGGACAACAAGUGUUCAGCUUUGCAUUGCGCUGGCAAUUCUAUACAAUGCGGUUGGUGCUGCAACUAUUUCAUCGUUGAUUGUCAUCAUUCUCACCGUACUCUGCAACCUUCCAUUGGCCAGACUGCAACACAAAUUUCAGAGUAAACUUAUGGAAGCACAGGAUGUGAGAUUGAAGGCCAUGUCCGAGUCACUAGUUCAUAUGAAGGUCUUGAAACUUUAUGCAUGGGAAGCCCACUUCAAGAAGGUCAUCGAGGGGUUAAGGGAGGUUGAGUACAAGUGGUUGCAAGCAUUCCAGCUUAGGAGGACAUACAAUGGUUUCCUGUUCUGGUCUUCUCCUGCUUUGGUUUCGGCUGCGACCUUUGUAACAUGCUAUUUUUUGAAAAUCCCUCUUGAUGCUAGCAAUGUCUUCACCUUUGUGGCAACUCUACGUCUCGUGCAAGAUCCAAUUAGGACGAUACCGGAUGUUAUUGCAGUUGUGAUACAGGCUAAGGUUGCUUUCACUCGGGUAUCAAACUUCCUUGAUGCACCUGAGCUAAACGGGCAAGUUAGGAAGAAAUACUAUGUUGGCGUUGAUUACCCUAUAGCGAUGAAUUCGUGUAGCUUCUCGUGGGAUGAGGAUACAUCAAAACCAACUCUAAAGAAUAUAAAUCUGUUGGUCAAAGCUGGAGAAAAGAUUGCAAUUUGUGGAGAAGUAGGAUCAGGAAAGUCGACGCUUUUGGCUGCUGUACUUGGUGAGGUCCCCAAAACUGAAGGAACGAUCCAGAUAUGCGGGAAAAUAGCAUAUAUUUCUCAGAAUGCAUGGAUCCAAACAGGAACCGUGCAAGACAAUAUUCUCUUUGGAUCGUCGAUGGACAGGGAAAGAUACCACAACACACUCGCGAGGUGCUCUUUGGUCAAGGACCUUGAAAUGUUGCCAUAUGGAGAUCGUACUCAAAUUGGGGAGAGAGGAGUAAAUCUUAGUGGUGGUCAGAAGCACCGCGUCCAGCUUGCUCGUGCACUAUACCAAAAUGCAGACAUCUAUCUUCUUGAUGACCCUUUCAGUGCUGUUGAUGCCCAUACAGCCACAAGUCUCUUCAAUGAAUAUGUCAUGAGUGCUCUAUCAGACAAGACUGUUCUUUUGGUGACCCACCAAGUUGAUUUUCUACCUGCAUUUGACUCCAUUUUGUUAAUGUCAGAUGGAGAGGUUAUUAGGUCUGCACCUUAUCAGGAUCUAUUGGCAGAUUGUGAAGAAUUUAAAGACCUUGUAAAUGCCCAUAAAGAUACGAUGGGUGUUUCGGAUCUCAAUAACAACACACACAAUCAAAGAGCUAAGGAAGUAUCAAUCAAGGAGACAGUUGGUAUUCAUGGAAGCAGAUAUACAGAGUCUGUGAAGCCAUCACCGGAAGAUCAACUGAUCAAGAAAGAGGAAAGAGAAACAGGGGAUGCAGGUGUUAAGCCUUAUAUGCUUUACCUGCGCCAGAAGAAAGGCUUCCUGUAUUUCUCCUUGUGUAUGAUUUCUCACAUAAUUUUCAUAGCCGGGCAAAUAUUACAGAAUUCAUGGAUGGCUGCUAAUGUCCAAAAUCCUCAUGUUAGUAUGCUGAAGUUAAUUUCUGUGUACAUUAUUAUCGGAGCUUGCACAAUGAUCUUCUUGCUAUCAAGAUCUUUAGGAGUCGUCGUUCUUGGGAUGCAGUCGUCAAGAUCCUUGUUUUCCCAGUUACUCAAUUCAUUGUUCCGUGCACCAAUGUCCUUUUUUGAUUCUACUCCUCUAGGAAGGAUUCUUAGCCGGGUCUCUUCAGAUUUGAGUAUCGUUGACCUUGAUAUUCCAUUUGCCUUCGUGCUGAGCCUUGGUACCAGCUUAAAUGCAUAUACAAAUCUAGGGGUAUUGGCUGCUGUUACAUGGCAAGUUCUAUUUGUGGCUGUGCCAAUGAUAGUUUUGGCAAUUAGGUUGCAGAGGUACUAUCUAGCCUCGGCCAAGGAAUUGAUGCGGAUUAAUGGUACAACCAAGUCUGCUCUAGCGAAUCACUUAGGUGAAUCAAUUUCAGGGGCUAUAACAAUAAGGGCCUUCGAGGAAGAAGAUCGUUUCUUUGAAAAAAAUUUGGAUCUUGUUGACAAGAAUGCCAGUCCGUAUUUCUAUAAUUUUGCAGCAACUGAAUGGUUAAUUCAACGUUUGGAAAUAAUGAGCGCUGCAGUUCUUUCUUCUUCUGCCUUUGUCAUGGCCCUUCUUCCUCAAGGGACUUUUACCCCUGGUUUUGUUGGAAUGGCAUUGUCAUAUGGUCUUUCUUUAAAUACGUCAUUUGUUUCCUCUAUUCAAACCCAAUGCAACAUUGCAAAUCAAAUAAUCUCGGUGGAACGGGUGAGCCAGUACAUGGACAUACCAAGUGAAGCAGCAGAAGUCGUUGAGGAAAAUCGACCGUUACCAGAUUGGCCCCAAGUUGGCGAUGUGGAGCUUAGAGAUUUGAAGAUCAGGUAUAGGAAAGAUGCCCCCCUUGUACUACAUGGAAUUACUUGCAGGUUUGAAGGUGGAAAUAAGAUUGGUAUAGUUGGUCGAACGGGAAGUGGCAAAACAACUUUGAUUGGUGCAUUGUUUCGCCUUGUUGAACCUGCUGAAGGGAAAAUAAUUAUAGACUCUGUGGAUAUCAGUACGAUAGGCUUACAUGACCUGCGUUCUCGUUUGGGUAUCAUUCCACAAGAUCCAACACUUUUCCAGGGUACAAUAAGAUACAAUCUAGACCCGCUUGGGCAAUUCUCAGAUCAACAAAUAUGGGAGGUUCUUCACAAAUGUCAACUUCUUGAAGCUGUCCAGGAUAAGGAACAGGGAUUAGAUUCACAUGUUGUGGAAGACGGGUCAAACUGGAGCAUGGGCCAAAGGCAGCUCUUCUGUUUGGGACGUGCGCUUCUGAGAAGGUGCCGUAUCUUAGUUCUUGAUGAAGCCACAGCCUCUAUAGACAAUGCAACAGACGCUCUCCUUCAGAAAACUAUCCGGACAGAAUUCAAACAUUGCACCGUUAUUACGGUUGCCCACCGUAUACCGACAGUCAUGGACUGCGAUAUGGUACUUGCAAUGAGCGACGGGAAACUAGUGGAGUUUGACAAACCUACGAAGCUCAUGGAAACUGAAGGAUCUCUCUUCCGCAAGCUGGUCGAGGAGUACCGGUCACACACAUCGAACACAGAUAUUUAG
rnacentral:rRNA from 1 species